CGCACAAGCGGUGGAGCAUGUGGUUUAAUUCGAAGCAACGCGAAGAACCUUACCAGGUCUUUGACAUCCUUUUGAAUGGUCUAGAGAUAGAUCAGGCCUUCGGGACAGAAGAGACAGGUGGUGCAUGGUUGUCGUCAGCUCGUGUCGUGAGAUGUUGGGUUAAGUCCCGCAACGAGCGCAACCCUUAUCAUUAGUUGCUAACAUUCAGUUGAGAACUCUAAUGAGACUGCCAGUGAUAAACUGGAGGAAGGUGGGGAUGACGUCAAAUCAUCAUGCCCCUUAUGACCUGGGCUACACACGUGCUACAAUGGCCGGUACAAAGAGUUGCGAAACUGUGAAGUUAAGCUAAUCUCAUAAAGCCGGUCUCAGUUCGGAUUGUAGUCUGCAACUCGACUACAUGAAGUCGGAAUCGCUAGUAAUCGCGAAUCAGAAUGUCGCGGUGAAUACGUUCUCGAGUCUU
rnacentral:rRNA from 1 species